AGCGAAACACAAGGUGGCAAGUGUAAAAAGAUGAGUCAACUGGGAGAUAUUUUCAAUACGUAUACUCAAUCAAGGACAGUAUCCUGAGUACCUAUGUAAUUCUGUUUUUUUCUUUUCAGUUUCACUAAUAGCUGAAUACCAUAUGCAAAGCCCGUGUGUGUAUGUGUGUGUGCGCUUGUGUGUGUGUGUGGCAAAGGAUGGAUUUGAGGAUUAAAAAAGUGGACAAUAAAUAUAUCAUGAAAUGAAAGGGAGAAAAGGGUGUGGUGGACUAUCUAGGGUGUCACAGUAGUCUGGGCAGUGGGCCCACAUCGGGACAGCACUAGGAACAGAUUGUCCCGGAGGACUGUUUCCCUGCCUUGUGAGAGGCCCCAUCCUCUGACUCCUGAUCUCCAGAAGGGAGAUGUGAGGGGCAAGUAAGUCUGUGAAGGCUGAGGAAUCUCUGGAUCCAGCUAUGAACGUGCUGAGGAUCUCACUGUGGGAGAGCCCUGGAGAGUCAGUAGGAUGAAUGUAACCCGGUGUUUGGACAAGCUGCCUUCUGAAAGACUAUGGGGGAGGCUGGACAACCUGGUGACAACUGAUUGCCUUGUCUCUAAGAAGAGGACUCAUGUCAUCCCAGAGCAACACAGGCAUAUAUCUGAGAAUACAGAACACACAAUCCUGGAGACCUGAGGCUCGAGUAAGUACCUCUAUCUCCUCCUCAGUGGUCAUUGGCUGGCCAGCUGGGCAGCACCCCUAACUGAGCUCUCUGUAAAGGUACAUAACAAGAAGACACUAGCUGCUCUGGGAAACCUGCCUGCAGGCCUAGUGGUGUGUGGCUGUUUUGUUUUCAAUCAGUGACUUUCCCUGGGGCAGUCCCCUUGAUAGAUUCCAGCAUCUGCUCACUUUUUACUGCUUUCCUCUCAUCCCCCACCAAGGGCAAAUUCUUUACACCCAUGUAGGGUCGCCAGACAAAAAUCCAGAAACUCCAUUAACUCUGAAUUUCAGAAAGACAAUGAAUAAUUUUUUUAGUGUAAGUGUGUCCCAAAUAUUGCAAGAGGAUUCCAAUACAACAGGGCAUCUUGUAUCUUUAUUUGCUAAAGCUCACCCCCAGGAACUGCUUAAGGGAACGGAUAUCUGAUUCUGUUCCUGUGAGCGGCUGGUUGCGAUCCUUUCUCCUCCUUGAGACUACCCCACGAUCACUGAUUUUAUUACGUAUGAAAACUUUCUGCAUGGUCUUUAGGAAAUGGGAGAGAAGGAUGUGAAUAUUUCUCAAUUCUAUAGGCACAUUUUUUUGUUCUUACCUGACAUGUCAGUCCAGUAAGGAAAUUGAGGAGAGAAGUGCAGGAUUCUUAGUUCUCCAUGAAGGUCCCACAUCUUAACUCUACACUAUUGGGAAGUAAACUGUGGGUAGACAAGGAACACAUGGAUGAUACCAAGGCGAUUGAUCUGAAACUGUCAAAACAGGAUUGCUGUACAACCACCUCUCACACUACAAAGUCCUUUGUUGGUUAGUUGUGAGUGGGUUUUUUAUAGAAUUAGUACUGUACUUUCAUUUUGAGAAAGCAACUUGCCCUUAGCCAGAGUGAGAACUAGAUAAAUUACUCCCCUCACAUCAGGUUAUUAAUGGCUGAAACUGUCUGCCUGGAGAUUUUUGAAACUUUGAUGCAUGUAAACUGGAAAAACUUAAGUG
rnacentral:lncRNA from 1 species